rnacentral:rRNA from 1 species
AUUGAACGCUGGCGGCAGGCCUAACACAUGCAAGUCGAGCGAGCGGCGGACGGGUGAGUAAUGUCUGGGAAACUGCCUGAUGGAGGGGGAUAACUACUGGAAACGGUAGCUAAUACCGCAUACCAUCAGAUGUGCCCAGAUGGGAUUAGCUAGUAGGUGGGGUAAUGUCUCACCUAGGCGACGAUCCCUAGCUGGUCUGAGAGGAUGACCAUCCACACUGGAACUGGACCACGUCCCAGACUCCUAGGGGAGGCAGCGGUGGGGAUUAUUGCACAAUGGGCGCAAGCCUGAUGCAGACAUGCCGCGUGGAUGAAGAAGGUCUUCGGAUUGUAAAGCACUUUAUGUUGGGAGGCGUUACCAACAGAAUAAGCACCGGCUAACUUCGUGCCAGCAGCCGCGGUAAUAC